rnacentral:lncRNA from 1 species
CCAACUCAAAUUGUGUCCGCCAAGCUGAAGAUAGCCUUGUGCUUGGCCUUAUUUGACGCCUGGUCAAAACUCGGCUUGGUGAGCGUCAGAGGUCAGAGGCAUGGGUUGAUCUCGCCAAAACUACAGAUAAUUUAGUCCAGCCCAUUUGAAUCAUGUUUAGUAGACUGUGGGCUGGGCCCACCAAACAUACAUCUUUACUAAUAGCAAUGCGGGUGCUGUGAAGUAUUUGUUUUGUAAUUGC